UACGGAGGGUGCAAACGUUGCUCGGAAUCAUUGGGCGUAAAGCGCACGUAGGCGGUCGGCUAUGUCGGAUGUGAAAGCCCCGGGCUCAACCUGGGAAUUGCAUUCGAGACUGCAUUGCUGGAGUACGGAAGAGGAGGGCGGAAUUCCCGGUGUAGCGGUGAAAUGCGUAGAUAUCGGGAGGAACAUCAGUGGCGAAGGCGGCCCUCUGGUCCAGUACUG
rnacentral:rRNA from 1 species